rnacentral:rRNA from 1 species
UACGUAGGGGGCAAGCGUUGUCCGGAAUCAUUGGGCGUAAAGAGCGUGUAGGCGGCCAGAAAAGUCCGCUGUGAAAACUCGAGGCUCAACUUCGAGCUGUCGGUGGAAACUUUCUGGCUAGAGUCCGGAAGAGGAGAAUGGAAUUCCUGGUGUAGCGGUGAAAUGCGCAGAUAUCGGGAGGAACACCUGAGGCGAAGGCGGGCUACUGGGCCGAUACUGACGCUGAGACGCGAAAGCGUGGGGAGCGAACAGG